rnacentral:rRNA from 1 species
GGUGGCGAGUGCGACGGGUGAGUAUACAUCGGACAUGUCCUGUAGUGGGGGAUAGCCCGGCGAAAGCCGGAUUAAUACCGCAUACGAUCUACGGAUGAAAGCGGGGGACCUUCGGGCCUCGCGCUAUAGGGUUGGCCGAUGGCUGAUUAGCUAGUUGGUGGGGUAAAGGCCUACCAAGGCGACGAUCAGUAGCUGGUCUGAGAGGACGACCAGCCACACUGGGACUGAGACACGGCCCAGACUCCUACGGGAGGCAGCAGUGGGGAAUUUUGGACAAUGGGCGAAAGCCUGAUCCAGCAAUGCCGCGUGUGUGAAGAAGGCCUUCGGGUUGUAAAGCACUUUUGUCCGGAAAGAAAUCCUUGGCUCUAAUACAGUCGGGGGAUGACGGUACCGGAAGAAUAAGCACCGGCUAACUACGUGCCAGCAGCCGCGGUAAUACGUAGGGUGCGAGCGUUAAUCGGAAUUACUGGGCGUAAAGCGUGCGCAGGCGGUUUGCUAAGACCGAUGUGAAAUCCCCGGGCUCAACCUGGGAACUGCAUUGGUGACUGGCAGGCUAGAGUAUGGCAGAGGGGGGUAGAAUUCCACGUGUAGCAGUGAAAUGCGUAGAGAUGUGGAGGAAUACCGAUGGCGAAAGCAGCCCCCUGGGCCAAUACUGACGCUCAUGCACGAAAGCGUGGGGAGCAAACAGGAUUAGAUACCCUGAUAGUCCACGCCCUAAACGAUGUCAACUAGUUGUUGGGGAUUCAUUUCCUUAGUAACGUAGCCUAACGCGUGAAGUUGACCGCCUGGGGGAGUACGGUCGCGAGGAUUAAACUCAAAGGACUGGACGGGACCCGCACAAGCGGUGGCAUGAUGUGGAUUAAGUCGAUGCAACGCGAAAAACCUUACCUACCC